GCAACGCUUUCAGUUCGAAGUGGGCGGGCGGGCGGGCCGGCCUAUCUUGACACUCGUAGUGGCAGAAGCGCACAAGCCAUCGUCCUAUGCCUUUCUCCCUAGUACAAAUGCAUCAAUGGUUGCGCAAAUCUAAAACCAUGAAAUGCCUUCUCCACCAAUUAAUCCCUCCCACUUUCCAUUCCUCCGGUCUUGUUAAGCCUACUAUUCAUUCUCUCCCAACUUCUUUUCUUCUCUCUAGCUGGAAAUCGCGGGCUGGGUUCUGUGGCUUUGGUUCAAAAUCUUGGGGUGUAGUGAGGGGAAUGGCAACAACAGUGGAUAGCAGUCUCUCCUACCUAAAGCAGCAAGAAGCUGCAGAAAUCGAUGAGUUGCUCAUGGGUCCUCUUGGCUUCAGUGUUGAUCAGCUUAUGGAAUUGGCUGGACUUAGUGUUGCCAGUGCAGUUGCAGAGGUCUAUAAACCUAGCGAAUACAGUCGAGUCCUUGCUGUUUGUGGUCCAGGGAAUAAUGGUGGUGAUGGCCUUGUUGCGGCUCGUCAUCUUUAUCACUUUGGUUAUAAGCCAGUUAUUUGUUACCCAAAGCGUACUUCCAAACCUCUUUAUAAUGGUUUGGUGACUCAGCUUGAGUCACUGUCAAUUCCUUUCCUGUCAAUGGAAGAUUUGCCAAUGGACUUAUCUGACAACUUUGACAUUCUUGUAGAUGCAAUGUUUGGAUUCUCAUUCCAUGGUACUCCAAGGCCACCUUUUGAUGAUCUAAUUCAGAGACUGAUAGCAGUGAAAAAUAAUGAACUCAGGCAUAAGAAGUCACCAGCUAUUGUCUCCGUUGAUAUUCCAUCUGGAUGGCACGUUGAAGAAGGAGAUCUGAGUAGCGAGGGCAUUAAACCUGACAUGCUUGUUUCUUUAACUGCUCCGAAGCUGUGCGCCAAAAAGUUUUCUGGUCCACAUCACUUUCUAGGUGGAAGAUUUGUUCCUCCGUCCAUUGUGAACAAGUUUAAGCUCCAAUUGCCAGCAUAUCCUGGAACUUCAAUGUGUGUUCGUAUUGGAAAGCCUCCAAAAGUUGACAUAUCAUCUCUGAGGGAGAAUUACAUUUCUCCUGAGUUGCUUGAGGAGCAAGUUGAGUCAAAUCCCUUUUAUCAGUUCCAAAAGUGGUUUGAUGAUGCAAUGGCAGCUGGCUUGAAGGAACCAAAUGCUAUGGCCUUGUCCACAACUGGAAAAGAUGGGAAGCCUUCUUCAAGAAUGGUGUUACUAAAGGGAGUUGACAAAGAUCGCUUUGUUUGGUACACCAAUUAUGCAAGUCGCAAGGCUCGGGAUAUAUCUGAAAACCCUCAUGCUGCACUUCUUUUUUACUGGGAUGGCUUAAACCGCCAGGUAAGAAUAGAAGGAUCUGUACAAAAGGUUUCUGAUGAGGAAUCUGUGCAGUACUUCCAUAGUCGUCCUCGUGGAAGUCAGAUUGGCGCCAUAGCUAGCAAGCAGAGUACAGUAAUUCCUGGACGCCAAUUUCUCCACCAUGAAUACAAAGAGUUGGAGAUGAAGUACUCUGACGGGAGUACGAUUCCCAAACCAACACACUGGGGAGGAUACAUGCUGAAACCAGAAUCGUUUGAAUUUUGACAAGGACAGCAAUGUCGCUUGCAUGAUAGGUAUGAGAUCACCCCAUGAGGCCAUGACAUCACCGCACUUCCACCACCUCUAUAAAUACUGAUGAUUGUUAUCAGCAUCCUGCCAACCGGGUUAAGAUGCCUACUACUUUCUCUCUCUUCAUCUUGACCCUAGUAUCCUUUACCUGCUUCCUGCCUGCAGCCGCCGCCGCCGCCUCGGCCUUGGCGCAUAUGUCUCCGGCGACUAUCUCCGACGAGGUUCCCGUUAACCCUCGCAACGUGAAGACUCAAGACUUUCCAACUGAAGGGUACAAAUCUGAAGAAAACCCAGCGAGUUCCGCCGCCCCAUCUGCCAGCGAUGUGGGAAUUCCGGCGAUCCUCCCAUCGAGCCAUCCCAUCAACCGCGGCGGCCUCAUUGAAACUAAUAAAGCGGCCUCCAUAUCUCCAGAAGCUCCAAAAACUUCAGCCGGAGUGUUCAUCAGUACUCAUCGCAAGCUGAUGACGUCAGCCGUCGAGCCUGACUCACCUCAAAGUCAAGGUUACGAUAUGAGUGAUGAUCUGACUCCGGCCCCUAUCUCACCUGAAAGUCCAGGCAACGAUAUGAGUGCAGCGGCGCCGGGCUUGGCGCGUUCAUCUGCUAAGUUAAUAUUGUUCAUGUUUUCCCUACAGAUUGUUCAUUAUUAUUACUGCAAUGCAAUGCAAUGGCCGGGUUGUUAGUUCCUAUUUCUACCCUUUGACCGGAGACGCAAUAAUCUCCGAUGGAUCGGAGAAGAAGAUUCCUCUUUAAGUCAAUUUCUGUCUGUCUCCGAUCAUCAUAUAUAUGCAUGUCAGUCAGUAAUAGAUAGAUAUGUCGAAUUGUCAAUCAUGUGAUGCUGACAAUUGAUUGAUAUAACAUUAUAACGUAAUAAAUGUUACAAAACAAUAUAUUAGUGGA